UUGAGUCUUAGAUGAGUGUCUGGUUAUAGUCCCCUGAGAAGCACAG
rnacentral:ncRNA from 2 species